AGAUGAGAGCCAUGGUGUUUUGGUAACCUAAUUCUGAUUAUCUUGGUGGAAUCUUGGAAAAGCUAAGCAGCUUCACUCUUAAUAAACAGACCUUGAUCAGCAACAAGUAGUGCAGAGGGAGCUCCUUACAACUCGACCAGUGAACCCAAUUUGAGAACUGAAGGAGAAAUCAAUAUCUAUGCAGAUCAGUUCCACAGGGAAGACAUCCUAUGGGGACUGUUUCUUCCUGGGAUGAGUAGAAUGGAAGCCCUAUGCAUAAUUCAGUUCGUGGAGAAGAGCAAAGGCUGGACUCAUGGUCCCAAUUUGGAGGUGAAGCAUGGUGACAAACGUCAAUGGGAAGCAUACACAUUGCAAAGUGGCUUCUCUCAGCGUCUGCUGUAAACACCGGGUCGUGAGUUGUCUGUGAGUGUAUGAAUGAAAACAUUCCAUAGAGAUUGUGUGGCCAUAAUACACAAGGAGCUGGACUCCAGCAAAUGGCCCAGAUCAACAUUCUGAAAUUGAACUUAGAAAACUAUCAGAUAUCUGGAAGUGAAGUAAAGCUUAUGAAGAAAAAAGCAGUGUGGAACUGCAGUGAUUUAAAAGAAACAAGAUGGGACCCAUACACUCAGCAUUAAAACAUAUAAAUCUGUAA
rnacentral:lncRNA from 1 species